AUUGAACGCUGGCGGCAUGCUUUACACAUGCAAGUCGAACGGAUCUAGGGGCUUGCUCCUAGGUUAGCGGCGGACGGGUGAGUAAUGCCUAGGAAUCUGCCUGUUAGUGGGGGAUAACGCGGGGAAACUCGCGCUAAUACCGCAUACGUCCUACGGGAGAAAGUGGGGGACCCUCGGGCCUCACGCUAACAGAUGAGCCUAGGUCGGAUUAGCUAGUUGGUGGGGUAAAAGCCCACCAAGGCGACGAUCCGUAACUGGUCCGAGAGGAUGAUCAGUCACACUGGAACUGAGACACGGUCCAGACUCCUACGGGAGGCAGCAGUGGGGAAUAUUGGACAAUGGGCGAAAGCCUGAUCCAGCCAUGCCGCGUGUGUGAAGAAGGUCUUCGGAUUGUAAAGCACUUUAAGUUGGGAGGAAGGGCGCUCGGUGAAUACCCAAGCGUCUUGACGUUACCGACAGAAUAAGCACCGGCUAACUUCGUGCCAGCAGCCGCGGUAACAC
rnacentral:rRNA from 1 species